UACGUAGGAGACGAGCGUUGUCCGGAAUACUGGGCGUAAAGCGCGUGUAGGCGGAUGGGCAAGUCUGCUGUGAAAGCUCCUGGCUUAACCGGGAGUGGUCGGUGGAAACUGCCAAUCUGGAGGACGGUAGAGGUAGGUAGAAUUCCCGGUGUAGUGGUGAAAUGCGUAGAGAUCGGGAGGAAUACCUGUGGCGAAGGCGGCCUACUGGGCCGGACCUGACGCUGAGACGCGAAGGCGUGGGGAGGCGAACGGG
rnacentral:rRNA from 1 species